AUACUUACCUGGAUGUGCCUCAGGGCGAGGCACAUCCAUUGCACUUUGGGAUGUGCUGACCCCUGCGAUUUUCCCAAAUGUGGAAAAUUCGACUGCAUAAUUUGUGGUAGUGGGGGACUGCGUUCGACCUUUCCCCUG
rnacentral:snRNA from 1 species